rnacentral:rRNA from 1 species
UUCCAGACUCCUACGGGAGGCAGCAGUGGGGAAUAUUGCACAAUGGGGGAAACCCUGAUGCAGCGACGCCGCGUGAGUGAAGAAGUCUUUCGGUAUGUAAAGCUCUAUCAGCAGGGAAGAAAUACUGACCUUACGGUCAGCAGACGGUACCUGACUAAGAAGCCCCGGCUAACUACGUGCCAGCAGCCGCGGUAAUACGUAGGGGGCAAGCGUUAUCCGGAUUUACUGGGUGUAAAGGGUGCGUAGGUGGCAUGGCAAGUCAGAAGUGAAAGCCCGGGGCUCAACCCCGCGGACUGCUUUUGAAACUGUCAGGCUGGAGUACAGGAGAGGUAAGCGGAAUUCCUAGUGUAGCGGUGAAAUGCGUAGAUAUUAGGAGGAACACCAGUGGCGAAGGCGGCUUACUGGACUGUAACUGACACUGAGGCACGAAAGCGUGGGGAGCAAACAGGAUUAGAUACCCCAGUA